rnacentral:rRNA from 1 species
GAUGAACGCUGGCGGCGUGCCUAAUACAUGCGAGUCGAGCGAACAGACGAGGAGCUUGCUCCUCUGACGUUAGCGGCGGACGGGUGAGUAACACGUGGAUAACCUACCUAUAAGACUGGGAUAACUUCGGGAAACCGGAGCUAAUACCGGAUAAUAUAUUGAACCGCAUGGUUCAAUAGUGAAAGACGGUUUUGCUGUCACUUAUAGAUGGAUCCGCGCCGCAUUAGCUAGUUGGUAAGGUAACGGCUUACCAAGGCAACGAUGCGUAGCCGACCUGAGAGGGGGAUCGGCCACACUGGAGCUGGAACACGGUCCAGACUCCUACGGGAGGCAGCAGUAGGGAAUCGUCCGCAAUGGGCGAAAGCUUGACGGAGCAACGCCGCGUGAGUGAUGAAGGUCUUCGGAUCGUAAAACUCUGUUAUUAGGGAAGAACAAAUGUGUAAGUAACUAUGCACGUCUUGACGGUACCUAAUCAGAAAGCCACGGCUAACUACGUG